GGAGGUGCGGGGAAGCGCUUGGAGAAAACUUUUGCGUCCGAGCCGUGUCUGCAGGAUCUCUCAUUCCCAGACCUUGACUGGAUGGAGAAGGAGGCUGUGAGGAAGAGGAAGAUGCCCCAGGACACCUGGGCAGACAAGGAGCUGAGGAUGGAGACCAGGGAGGACAAAUCCCCAUGGCAGAACCUCGUGGAAGAGGCCGUUUUGAGCGGCUCCACGGUGCAGGAACCCAAUGGGGAGGAAAA